CGGGAGGCGGAGCGGCGAACGAGGCCGUCGGCCAUUUUGUGUCUGCUGCCUGUGGGACGCGGUGGUAGCCGUUGGGUCGGGAAAGUGAGGGAUUUUUCGCCUCGUUUCUCCUGCUUCUUUUUUCCUCCCUUUUACUUUGUCGGUAGAAUACAGUUAUGGGUCGCAAGAAGAAGAAGCAGCUGAAGCCGUGGUGCUGGUAUUGUAAUAGAGAUUUUGAUGAUGAGAAGAUCCUUAUACAGCACCAAAAAGCAAAGCAUUUUAAAUGCCAUAUAUGUCACAAGAAAUUGUAUACAGGACCUGGCUUAGCUAUUCAUUGCAUGCAGGUACAUAAAGAAACAAUAGAUGCUGUACCGAAUGCAAUACCUGGAAGAACAGACAUAGAAUUGGAAAUAUAUGGGAUGGAAGGUAUUCCAGAAAAGGACAUGGAUGAAAGACGACGACUUCUUGAGCAGAAAACACAAGAAAGUCAAAAAAAGAAGCAACAAGAUGAUUCUGAUGAAUAUGAUGAUGAUGACUCCGCAGCCUCAACUUCAUUUCAGCCACAGCCUGUUCAACCUCAACAAGGUUAUAUUCCCCCAAUGGCACAGCCAGGACUGCCACCAGUACCAGGAGCACCAGGAAUGCCUCCAGGCAUACCUCCAUUAAUGCCAGGUGUUCCUCCUCUGAUGCCAGGAAUGCCACCAGUUAUGCCAGGCAUGCCACCUGGAUUGCAUCAUCAGAGAAAAUACACCCAGUCAUUUUGCGGUGAAAACAUAAUGAUGCCAAUGGGUGGAAUGAUGCCACCUGGACCAGGAAUACCACCUCUGAUGCCUGGAAUGCCACCAGGUAUGCCCCCACCUGUUCCACGUCCUGGAAUUCCGCCAAUGACCCAAGCACAGGCUGUUUCAGCGCCAGGUAUUCUUAAUAGACCACCUGCACCAACAGCAACUGUACCUGCUCCGCAGCCUCCAGUUACUAAGCCUCUUUUCCCCAGUGCUGGGCAGAUGGGGACACCUGUCACAAGCUCAAGUACAGCUUCAUCCAAUUCAGAAAGUCUGUCUGCAUCUUCUAAAGCUCUGUUUCCUAGCACAGCACAAGCUCAGGCAGCUGUCCAAGGACCUGUUGGUACAGAUUUCAAACCCUUAAAUAGUACCCCUGCAACAACUACAGAACCCCCAAAGCCUACAUUCCCUGCUUAUACACAGUCUACAGCUUCAACCACUAGUACAACAAAUAGUACUGCAGCUAAACCAGCAGCUUCAAUAACAAGUAAGCCUGCUACACUCACAACAACUAGUGCAACCAGUAAGUUGAUCCAUCCAGAUGAGGAUAUAUCCCUGGAAGAGAGAAGGGCACAGUUACCUAAAUAUCAACGUAAUCUUCCUCGGCCAGGACAGGCCCCCAUCGGUAAUCCACCAGUUGGACCAAUUGGAGGUAUGAUGCCACCACAGCCAGGCAUCCCACAGCAACAAGGAAUGAGACCCCCAAUGCCACCUCAUGGUCAGUAUGGUGGUCAUCAUCAAGGCAUGCCAGGAUACCUUCCUGGUGCUAUGCCCCCGUAUGGGCAGGGACCACCAAUGGUGCCCCCUUACCAGGGUGGGCCUCCUCGACCUCCGAUGGGAAUGAGACCUCCUGUAAUGUCGCAAGGUGGCCGUUACUGAUCUUACUUCAUCCAGUCUAAUAGGUUUUUAGAAGUGAAGUAUAGUAAAUUUGGUUCGUUAAAUUGUGAAGGCGCUGGAUUUACAUGAACAUACCACCUUAAUAAAGCCCUGCCAUAGGACAGGCUGAGGCUGAGUCUCAGUGUUGCCCUGUUCAGUCUGAGCAGCAGAAUUUCAGCAUUUGCUACUUACUGGUAGAGAAGAAAAAUCCCACAGCCCUGCCAGUACAGGUUAGUUUAAUCUGUAAGUACCUGAUGUUCCUAUUUUUUUCAAACAUAUCCAUAUAACUCACACAAGGAAGAAAGCUGUGCGGUUACUUAAAUGUGAGUAUAACUAAUAAUAGAUCCAUUGGACACUUUAAACACUCAGUACUUGGGCCAAAGUAGAUCUAGGUUUGCUAACCCCAGUUGUAAUAAAGGUGUAAUACUGCUCCUUUGUUAUCUCCUUGUGGUUCAACCUAAGUAGAUACAUUGUACAUAAAAGGAAAAGACAGUUUGAGUUGGCUGUGCCCUUGUUGAUAGAUGAUGUAGAGUCCAGGGCUUUGGGUCCAGGGUCUUUUACUUAAGCUAUUUCAUGGUGAUUCUCUCAUUCACCUUUUAACUUUUUACAGUAUGAAUCAACCUAAGAAAAAAGACAAGUUUCCUCACAUCUAGAAAUGAUAAAUGGUGUACAGUCAUAAGCUAGAAUGUUUUUAUAAUGCUUUUUUGUUCUUUUAGCAACACUUGUAGAUACAAGUACUCCUUUUUUUUCUUUUUUUUGUAAACUAUAACGUAUCCUGUUGGUGUACCAGUGAGUUCAUUUUACUGUGAACUAAGAAUAACAUACAUACCUUUUUAAUAUUGAAAGCUGACUACCCAUCAAGAAAUGUAGCUAGAUUCUUCAUGUAACACUUUUGAGGGGCAGUGGGGACAUAAUGGGUUGUGGAAGAUGUGUUUAACAUUUUUAUUUUUAUUUUUUUUCCAUUCUACCCAAGUUCAUAGUUGUUUGAACCAUCCUUUAACCUUUAAAUGUUGUGCUUUUAGGUUGAUACAAAUAUAAAGCACUGAGGAGGGAGGAAUAAAGCAUACAAGUUAAUUUCUAAUUUUUGCAAGCCUGAACCAUCCUAAUCUGAUGGUAGGAUGUAUGGCUUCUUCCUUUUCACCUUGUGUGAUACCUAAUUUGAGACGAUCUAGCCAUAAAACUAGUUAAUCUUGAAUUCCUCUUGAACUGGAUGGUGAUUAGCCAUUGUGAUAACAGAUUAUCUUUAUAUGGAAAUUGUGCGUAUUGUUAAAUUUUAAAACUUGGAUUUAUCAACUAAUAAUAAAAUAUAUCUUAUAAGAUA